rnacentral:rRNA from 1 species
UGGGGUGAGAGGCUCCCCGUAGACCACGGGGUCGAUAGGCCGGAUGUGGAAGGCAGGACCAACGACUGCCGCAGCUGACCGGUACUAAUCAGCCGACAACUUGCUCA